rnacentral:rRNA from 1 species
CAGUAGCCGCGGUAAUACGUAGGGUGCAAGCGUUAAUCGGAAUUACUGGGCGUAAAGCGUGCGCAGGCGGUUAUAUAAGACAGAUGUGAAAUCCCCGGGCUCAACCUGGGAACUGCAUUUGUGACUGUAUAGCUAGAGUACGGCAGAGGGGGAUGGAAUUCCGCGUGUAGCAGUGAAAUGCGUAGAUAUGCGGAGGAACACCGAUGGCGAAGGCAAUCCCCUGGGCCUGUACUGACGCUCAUGCACGAAAGCGUGGGGAGCAAACAGGAUUAGAUACCCCAGUAGUCCCUGUCUCUUAUCA